rnacentral:piRNA from 1 species
UCACAUUUCUUUAGAUGUUUCAAAGCUGG